CUAGUUCACACUCCACAAUCUUUAGCCUGAUAUUCGAGUCACUGAUAAUAUCCAGAAGUCACUGUCAAAAGCUCCACAUGGGAGUGAGAUCUACGUUCAAUGCACAGUCACACAUCCUCAACAAACGUCGAAGGAGGCACAACAAUCACAUGACAGUGUGAAAUAUGAACUACACAGCAAUCCAAAGUCCUGCUGUGUGAACUUGGCAUUACUUGGUUCCUAAAUGUUUCAGACAUAUUUGCUCCUAUUGUAUUGUACAUUGUAUCGUUCAGUAUAUUAUGCUUCACCCUUUUCCUUUGUUUAACCUGCAGCACCGUCUGUGUGGGUGUGUGUUUUUGUGUUAUUUCAGGAAAGUGGUUCGUGAGCACAGGAAAAGACAAUCUGUUGAAUGCAUGGAGGACACCAUAUGGAGCUAGUAUUUUCCAGUCCAAGGAGUCCUCAUCUGUGCUGAGCUGUGACGUUUCCCCGGACGACAAGUACAUAGUGACAGGCUCUGGCGACAAGAAGGCCACGGUGUACGAGGUGGUGUACUGAGGGAUGGGACGAGAUGGGGAGGAGCAGGACGGAGACUUUGGGGGGGUGAUUGAGAAGAUGCACCCAGUUGCCAACUGCUCCAAAUCCUCAAAACAUCAUCAUCGACAGCAACUCCGUCUCAGUCCUCUUGAGUCCUUCUGACCCUCACCCCUAAUACAUCUCCCCUCUCCCCCUUUUUGCUGUGAUAUAAGCUACUGUGGAAGCUCCUUAAUGCCCCCUCCCCUGUUCCACCUUCCACUUUGAGCCCAAGGAUGAUGCAUGAUAGCGUACAGAGAGAGAGAGGAGAAACAGCGAGAUAAGAAGGACAAUGGAAAAGGGCAGUGGAGCAUAAAGAUAAGGUCGGGAGGAGAAAGGAAGGAAAGAUGAGGAGAAAGCGAGAGUGCGGAAGGAAGAGAAAUAAAAGGGAGGAAGAGGAGGACAAAAAAAAGGAGGAGGAGGGAGGGAGGCAGGCUAAUUAGGGCUGUUUCCAGAUUAAGAGCUCAGUGGAAGGGAGGCCCCCAGAGGAGGCGUGGAGCGGCACUGUGGGAGCGCCAGCCAGGAGCACUGAUACCACACAAUCGAUUCAUUAGCCAGACAGUGAAAGCCUUAAUGAGGCUGACGCCGCAGCUCGCUCUCUGCAGCGAGAGGUGUCAGGAGCUGGGGAAUGAUGACGCUCUGAGAUGGAGGGGGCCGCUUCAGAUAUCCACAUACAUGAAACAUAGACCGUGCUCGCAAUACACACACACACACACACACUUGGGUACACCCCCUUGAGGUAAUCGUAGGAAGAGAGAAACACACACAACACACAGAGCACCCAAUUAAACAUUCAUCGCCGCACUCCCCAUCUCACUGCUUAAUAUCUAUUUUAUUUCUGCCUGACAAAGGCAGCGUCUAAUGAGCAGCCGAGUCAAUGGGAUCCUCCCGGGGCCCCGAGACACAAACAGAGAACAUCAGCCGAGCUGUUCCCUCUAAUUCCUCCGGAUUGUUCUCCUGACACCGGGCACCGCUCUCACUCUCAUUACAGGCACUGUCAGCCGGAUGACGUAGCACCGCACUGCAACUUCACUGUAAGGCAAACAAGAGGGCAAAUUAACACCACCCUACCACGCUGUCAUCAGCAGCCAAUUUCACAGCGACUAAUCCGACUCCUUUCAAACCUCAUGCAACACGUGUCUGUUUUUAUUCACAGAUGAGAUCACAUGUUUAGUGGAGCUGUUAUUUGCAUCACUGCCUGUCUGAUAAUGAGCCAGUGUUCAAAGUGCUCUGGCCAAAUCUUUGAUAAGCUAUUAAUCGAUAUUAGUUGAAAUGCUCAACACCUUAAAGGAAAAGUUUUGUUAAAUAUUCUUCUUGGCUUUCUUCCUGAUUUUUAGAUGAGUAGACUGAUACCACUGUCAUGUAUGUAUGCAAAGUAUGAAGCCACUGCUAGCAGUCUGCUCUCUUAGCUUAGCAUAAGGACUGAGAAACAGGUAGCUUAGUGCUAACUGAGCCAACAACAAAUUCCAGCACAUCAAUGACUAAAACUAAAACAAAUACUAAAGUGUAAAUUUUACAAAUCACCAACUAUUUUUUGGUCAACCCCAGUUGCCUGGCAACCACAUAAAUGGCCCUAACCACAGACUGUAAAUAAAGAUGGACUACACGUCUCCAUUUCCUCAAAGAUUUAGCAGAAAUAUCCCAGAUAAGGGUAGCGCCAUCUUGUACUUGUAAAGUAGCGAGAUAUGUAUGCACUUGACCAAUCAUGUUUCAGGUGUCAAUUAUGAUGUUGUACCCUGAUUUUAUAACAUAAAAUACCAAAAUAAAAACCAAAUAAUCAGUAAAAGCGAGUGCUUGUACUGAUUCUCCUGUGUGAUAAGAACCACCUAAAAUGACAGAAAUCCUCUUUAAACCAUUAUUUGAGUUUGGUCCAUGCCCCACAAGCUAACAUGGAGGAGGCAGGGUAUAUUACCUAUACAGCAGCCAGCCACAAGGGGGCGAACAGGAGGAUUUGGCUUCACAUUUGGGGAGCUGUCAUGUUGUCCAUCUUACUUAUAUCAUGUCUCAAUCUGUGAGUUUUAGAGGUGAUGCUAGGAGGAUUUUUUAUUUUUACUUUUGGAUGGAGCCUCUUCCAAUCUGUGUGCUGAGGUACGUUAGCUGUUGGCUUCAUACUUCCAGAUAUGAGAGUGGACUCAGUCAUCUCAUCUUACUCGACACAACAAAGCAAAUGAACAUAUUUCCCAAAGCGCCACUUUUUUUCCCUAAACCUUUUUUUUAUUUUGAAUGGUCCUUGUAUCAAACUCUAAACUGGCGGGCAAACAGAAUAUCAGAGCUCUGUUUCUGUAGAACAUGUGUCACCAGUGUGCAGACUAAAAAAAAGGCACUUUUCAAGCUUUUUGUAUCACUCAUUUAAUUUCAGUAUUUUUUAUGAAUAGCUCAUCUUAUGUAAUGAUUUGUUUAUGUACUAGGGGGUUGCCUAUGACUGCGUUUGGGUUCGGGGGAAGCAAACAGAGAGGGACACGCUCACACAUGGAAACAUAUGACAAAAAAAAUGUUUCUUUCUGUUUCUUUUUUUUUUUUAAUCAGUGUAUUUUUAUCCUUGGUGAUGUGCCAGACAGAGGAUUUACAACAUCAGCAAACCCAUGUGAAGAGAAAAAAAAUAAGAUCCUCCAUUUUGGAGAAAUGUUCCUCUGUCUACUGUUUGUUGUUUUUGUUUUAUUACACCUUUUUUCAGAAGUGGUAGUGAACGUACUGUUUCAGUCCUAACUGUGUGAUUAUACAACAUUUCUGUUGAGUCUGGUCAUUGGCUACGACGACUCAGAAUUAGCCAUCAAUGAGGUCCAACUUGUUUCUGCAUGCUUGUUGCACUACAAGUCCACCUCUGCUGAUAGAACCAGAUCCAUCUGAUUUUAUUACACAGGUACAGUGAAUGGUCUCAUAUCCUCUGUUUUACAGAAGGAGGAAUCGUUAUCUUACAUCUCAGUAUGCAAUUUAGUGAAGCUGUAAAAAGAUUUUGGCGAGACUUGUCCGUGUCCCUCGAUAACGCAGGAUAUAAUCACGAGGGACUUCUGCUUUACCAGCAAGGAGUAGAGAUCAUCUGUACAGUUUAACACCUCCGCCUGUCUCUUUCCCGUCCUGUCAGCCACAGGCAAGACCUCAACAACUCUCAUACACAAGCUUGUAUACUACUCAGAAUGAUGCUGUAUAAUGGCUAUGCAUUUGGUGGUAUAGCGUGAAUAUUUUGGACAUUGUAUUUGAUACUCUUCUUUAACCGUCACUCAUUUCUCUCUCUACCUGCCUCUGCUUUCUGUUCCAACUGAUAAAAUAUCACAUUAAGUUUCUCUUCUUUUUUUAAUGCACUGUGUCAUCCCUCCUGAUACAUUUCCUUAUGUGCUGUACAAGAAAAAACUAUGUGUGAAAAAUAAACCAAACUUGUGUUCAUCCUUU